rnacentral:misc_RNA from 1 species
UUUGGCUCUGAUUGGAACUAUUCCAUGUCUUGUUCAACUGCUAGGGCUAUCCUUCAUUCCAGAUUCUCCUAGAUGGUUGUGAGGCUAGGAAAGAUUGUGGUUUUAAAUGUUAAAUGACAUUCACAGGCAAAGAUUGGACAAUGGAAAGACUGUGAAGCCGCUCUGCAGCGUUUUAGAGGGGAAAAUGUUGAUAUAUCUGAUGAAGCAGCUGAGAUUAGGGAUUAUACAGAAGCCCUUCAACAGCAUUCUGAAGCUUCCAUAUUUGAAUUGUUCAAGAGGAAAUAUGCUUAUUCACUCAUUGUUGGAGUGGGCCUGAUGGUACUGCAACAAUUUGGAGGGGUCAAUGGCAUUGCAUUUUAUGCAAGUUCUAUAUUCGUGUCAGCUGGUUUCUCUGGUAGUGUUGGAACUAUUGCAAUGGCUGUUGUCCAGAUUCCAAUGACAGCACUGGGAGUAGUCUUGAUGGAUAUAUCUGGGCGAAGACCACUUCUGAUGAUCUCUGCAGCUGGAACAUGCUUAGGUUGCUUUCUUGUAGCAUUGUCAUUUUUGUCACAGGACCUUCAUAAAUGGACGGUGGUCUCUCCCUUUUUGGCACUUAUUGGUGUACUGAUAUAUAUAGGAUCAUUCGCACUAGGCAUGGGAGGAAUCCCCUGGGUUAUAAUGUCGGAGGUAUUUCCUAUAAACAUGAAGGGCUCAGCUGGAAGUCUUGUGACAGUAGUUAAUUGGUUAGGUUCUUGGAUUAUUUCCUAUGCUUUUAACUUCCUAAUGGAUUGGAGUUCAUCAGGAACAUUCUUCAUAUUCGCAAGUAUAUGUGGCGUAACCGUUUUGUUUGUUUCGAAGCUGGUACCAGAGACCAAGGGACGAACAUUGGAAGAAAUACAAGCAUCCAUGAAUCCAUUUACAGCAAACUGAUGAAUUUGGCAUCUUCACCUUGCAUUCAUUUUGUGUUUUCAUGGAUUCCAACGAGCCCGAUGGUACUGUAACUCGUGCAAACCUCUGAUGGAAAAUUUACCUGGAUGUUUUAGUAGUGAGUAUGCACAAACGUAUUGGUCUGUGAUAAACAAGCUAUCUAAAUACUUUGAUUUCAUCAUUUCAAUAUGUCACUUUAAAUUAAAGAGCGCUAUGUAGACCAAACCAAACCGUUUUUGCAUUGAAACUAAAACCAUCAAAACCAAAAUUGAAAUUGGAAUUAAGUGGGACUAGAACCGACUGGAACUGUGGCCAAUCAAUUUGGUUUCGAUUCGUUCCCU